rnacentral:rRNA from 1 species
UACGUAGGUGGCAAGCGUUGUCCGGAUUUACUGGGCGUAAAGGGUAUGCAGGCGGGUUGUUAAGUAGCAAGUGAAAGGGCGGAGCUCAACUCCACCACGGCUUGCUAUACUGGCAGCCUUGAGUAGCGGAGAGGAAGAGGGAACUCCACGUGUAGCGGUGAAAUGCGUUGAGAUGUGGAGGAACACCAAUGGCGAAAGCACUCUUCUGGACGACUACUGACGCUGAGAUACGAAAGCCAAGGGAGCGAACAG